rnacentral:rRNA from 1 species
CUAACUACGUGCCAGCAGCCGCGGUAAUACGUAGGUGGCGAGCGUUAUCCGGAAUGAUUGGGCGUAAAGGGUGCGUAGGUGGCAGAUCAAGUCUGGAGUAAAAGGUAUGGGCUCAACCCGUACUUGCUCUGGAAACUGAUCAGCUAGAGAACAGAAGAGGACGGCGGAACUCCAUGUGUAGCGGUAAAAUGCGUAGAUAUAUGGAAGAACACCGGUGGCGAAGGCGGCCGUCUGGUCUGGAUUCUGACACUGAAGCACGAAAGCGUGGGGAGCAAAUAGGAUUAGAUACCCUAGUAGUCCACGCCGUAAACGAUGAGAACUAGGUGUUGGGGGAAUAACUCAGUGCCGCAGUUAACGCAAUAAGUUCUCCGCCUGGGGAGUAUGCACGCAAGUGUGAAACUCAAAGGAAUUGACGGGGGCCCGCACAAGCGGUGGAGUAUGUGGUUUAAUUCGAAGCAACGCGAAGAACCUUACCAGGCCUUGACAUCCCUUGCAGAGGUAUAGAGAUAUAUCCGAGGUUAUCAAGGAGACAGGUGGUGCAUGGUUGUCGUCAGCUCGUGUCGUGAGAUGUUGGGUUAAGUCCCGCAACGAGCGCAACCCUUGUGAUAUGUUACUAACAUUGAGUUGAGGACUCAUAUCAGACUGCCGGUGAUAAACCGGAGGAAGGUGGGGAUGACGUCAAAUCAUCAUGCCCCUUAUGGCCUGGGCUACACACGUACUACAAUGGCGUCUACAAAGAGCGGCAAGCCUGUGAAGGCAAGCGAAUCUCAUAAAGGACGUCUCAGUUCGGAUUGAAGUCUGCAACCCGACUUCAUGAAGCUGGAAUCGCUAGUAAUCGCGAAUCAGCAUGUCGCGGUGAAUACGUUCUCGGGCCUUGUACACACCGCCCGUCA